rnacentral:rRNA from 1 species
UACGUAGGUGGCAAGCGUUGUCCGGAUUUACUGGGUGUAAAGGGCGUGCAGCCGGAGAGACAAGUCAGAUGUGAAAUCCACGGGCUCAACUCGUGAACUGCAUUUGAAACUGUUUCCCUUGAGUGUCGGAGAGGUAAUCGGAAUUCCUUGUGUAGCGGUGAAAUGCGUAGAUAUAAGGAAGAACACCAGUGGCGGAGGCGGAUUACUGGACGAUAACUGACGGUGAGGCGCGAAAGCGUGGGGAGCAAACAGG